rnacentral:miRNA from 1 species
UGAGGUAGUAUUGUUUGGAAG